rnacentral:rRNA from 1 species
AUACGGGGGGUGCAAGCGUUGUUCGGAAUUAUUGGGCGUAAAGAGCGUGUAGGCGGCUGAAUAAGUCAGAUGUGAAAGCCCUGGGCUUAACUCAGGAAGUGCAUUUGAUACUGUUCAGCUGGAGUAAGGGAGAGGAAAGUGGAAUUCCUGGUGUAGAGGUGAAAUUCGUAGAUAUCAGGAGGAACACCUGUGGCGAAGGCGACUUUCUGGCCCUAUACUGACGCUGAGACGCGAGAGCGUGGGUAGCAAACAGGAUUAGAUACCCUGGUAGUCCACGCCGUAAACGAUGUUCACUAGGUGUUGGGGGUAUUGACCCCCUCAGUGCCGUAGCUAACGCAUUGAGUGAACCGCCUGGGGAGUACGGUCGCAAGACUAAA